UACGUAGGGUGCAAGCGUUGUCCGGAAUUAUUGGGCGUAAAGAGCUCGUAGGCGGUCUGUCACGUCGGCUGUGAAAUCCCGAGGCUCAACCUCGCGCCUGCAGUGGGUACGGGCAGACUAGAGUGCGGUAGGGGAGAUUGGAAUUCCUGGUGUAGCGGUGGAAUGCGCAGAUAUCAGGAGGAACACCGAUGGCGAAGGCAGAUCUCUGGGCCGUAACUGGACGCUGAGGAGCGAAAGCGUGGGGAGCGAACAGG
rnacentral:rRNA from 1 species